rnacentral:misc_RNA from 2 species
AACGCACAUUGCGCCCAUUAGUAUUCUAGUGGGCAUGCCUGUUCGAGCGUCAUUUCAACCCUUAAGCCUAGCUUAGUGUUGGGAGCCUACUGCUUUUGCUAGCUGUAGCUCCUGAAAUACAACGGCGGAUCUGCGAUAUCCUCUGAGCGUAGUAAUUUUUAUCUCGCUUUUGACUGGAGUUGCAGCGUCUUUAGCCGCUAAACCCCCCAAUUUUUAAUGGUUGACCUCGGAUCAGGUAGGAAUACCCGCUGAACUUAA